CACUGUGAUGAAAAACAGGAGAGGCUGCCGCACCGGACUGGCCAGAGAAGGAUGUAGCAAAAGAUCGCGCCGUGUUGUCCGGAA
rfam:Populus trichocarpa isolate Nisqually-1 chromosome 1, whole genome shotgun sequence.